rnacentral:lncRNA from 1 species
UCUUUCCAACAUCCAAGGAUUGGGUGUCCCAUCUUCCCACAUGCCCAAGUUGAGGGUGAUCUCUUCUACAGCAAGGAAUAGGGAGAAAGGCUACAAUUCAAGCAUUGAGAUCACGGUCAAAGAUCAAGAAUUGAUCAAAAGUUUAAAAGGCUAAAUUUAUCUUAGAGAAGAGGGAUCUAUAACGAGAAUAAAUGUUCAAGAUUAAUCUCGAUGGAUAUCUGUAGAGGCCGGACAUGUGUGCGGCUCAAGAAUCUUUAGAUCUAAGAUC